rnacentral:rRNA from 1 species
ACAGCAGUAGCCGCGGGAAUACGGAGGAUCCAAGCGUUAUCCGGAAUCAUUGGGUUUAAAGGGUCCGUAGGCGGUCUUGUAAGUCAGUGGUGAAAGCCCAUCGCUCAACGGUGGAACGGUCAUUGAUACUGCAGGACUUGAAUUAUUGGGAAGUAACUAGAAUAUGUAGUGUAGCGGUGAAAUGCUUAGAGAUUACAUGGAAUACCAAUUGCGAAGGCAGGUUACUACCAAUUGAUUGACGCUGAUGGACGAAAGCGUGGGUAGCGAACAGGAUUAGAUACCCCGGUAGUCCCUGUCUCUUAUAC